rnacentral:rRNA from 1 species
GAAACCCUGACGGAGCAAUACCGCGUGAGGGAUGACGGCCUAUGGGUUGUAAACCUCUUUUUUCAGGGAGGAAUCAAUGACGUGUACCUGAAGAAUAAGCAUCGGCUAACUCCGUGCCAGCAGCCGCGGUAAGACGGAGGAUGCAAGUGUUAUCCGGAAUCACUGGGCGUAAAGCGUCUGUAGGUGGUUUAAUAAGUCAACUGUUAAAUCUUGAGGCUCAACCUCAAAAUCGCAGUCGAAACUAUUAGACUAGAGUAUAGUAGGGGUAAAGGGAAUUUCCAGUGGAGCGGUGAAAUGCGUAGAUAUUGGAAGGAACACCGAUGGCGAAGGCACUUUACUGGGCUAU